GCUUUUUGGCACGGCUCUGAACUCUGUUUUUCUUUCUCUCCAGCCAUGAAGUCUGAUAAUUGAAGUCUGAUCUUUCCUACUGUGGGCAACCCGUGCAUCCCAGUCAGAUUUACAUUUGCCUUCAUAAACUUUAACAGGCCCUGCAUAUCCUGUGAAGGGUCAUGGUAGGAUGCUAUUUCCAAUCUUCUUUUUCCCUAAAGUUCAACAACAUGAAGCUUCUGUGCUACUUUGUUGUACCUUUAUCUGUGC
rnacentral:misc_RNA from 1 species